rnacentral:lncRNA from 1 species
ACGAAACUUACUAUAUUAUAAUCGGAGUUAAGUACGAUUCAUACCGGAAAAUGAGUUCAAAAGGUACGAAAAGAAAAUGUUACGGUUUAAUAUUACAUCACCAAAAGAAAACCCCAAAAUAUAUGGCAUCGUUCAUAGGUCCUCGUACAACUUCCAACAAAAUCCCGGGCAAGACCUCGAUCCGCUACUCGACCCAUCCCGGUUGAGAACUACUACUACCUGCAAUUAAAAGACAUCUAUAUGAGCUAUAAAGCUCAGUAAGAAAUCCGGGUAAUAUCGAACUUUGAAAAUACGUUAUACAUAACAUAUAAUAUUAUAUACCCAUUCUUACCCACGUUCCGUACCACAACACAAGACAAUCGGUCAAAUCACGUAA